rnacentral:rRNA from 1 species
UUACCAGGGCUUGACAUGCUGGGAGUGGAACCUGAAAGGGGACGACCUGUUAAGUCAGGAGCCAGCACAGGUGCUGCAUGGCUGUCGUCAGCUCGUGCCGUGAGGUGUUUGGUUAAGUCCUGCAACGAGCCGCAACCCUCAUUGCCAGUUAAUGAUGUCUGGCGAGACUGCCCCGCAAAACGGGGAGGAAGGUGGGGAUGACGUCAAGUCAGCACGGCCCUUAUGCCCUGGGCUACACACACGCUACAAUGGGCGGUACAGCAGGUUGCAAAGGAGUGAUCUGGAGCUAAUCCUGAAAGCCGUCCUCAGUACAGAUUGCAGGCUGCAACUCGCCUGCAUGAAGUUGGAGUUGCUAGUAAACGCAGGUCAGCCAUACUGCGUUGAAUACGUUCCCGGGGCUU